rnacentral:rRNA from 1 species
UACGUAGGUGGCAAGCGUUGUCCGGAAUUAUUGGGCGUAAAGAGCGCGCAGGCGGUCGUUCAAGUCGCGUGUGAAAGCCCCCGGCUCAACUGGGGAGGGUCACGCGAUACUGAUCGACUCGAAGGCAGGAGAGGGUAGUGGAAUUCCCGGUGUAGUGGUGAAAUGCGUAGAUAUUGGGAGGAACACCAGUGGCGAAGGCGGCUCACUGGACCGGUACUGACGCUGAGGCGCGAAAGCGUGGGGAGCAAACAGG